rnacentral:misc_RNA from 1 species
CACCACUCAAGCCUCGCUUGGUAUUGGGCGACGCGGUCCGCCGCGCGCCUCAAAUCGACCGGCUGGGUCUUCCGUCCCCUCAGCGUUGUGGAAACUAUUCGCUAAAGGGUGCCGCGGGAGGUCACGCCGCAAAACAACCCCAUUUCUAA